AUCAGAUGUGCCCAGAUGGGAUUAGCUAGUAGGUGGGGUAACGGCUCACCUAGGCGACGAUCCCUAGCUGGUCUGAGAGGAUGACCAGCCACACUGGAACUGAGACACGGUCCAGACUCCUACGGGAGGCAGCAGUGGGGAAUAUUGCACAAUGGGCGCAAGCCUGAUGCAGCCAUGCCGCGUGUGUGAAGAAGGCCUUCGGGUUGUAAAGCA
rnacentral:rRNA from 1 species